rnacentral:rRNA from 1 species
CUACGGGUCGCUCCAGUCGGGAGAAUUUUGCAAUGCACGAAAGUGUGACAGAGCAAGCCAGAGUGCUUCUCUAUAUUUGAGAAGCUUUUGUGCGACGUAGAUAGUCGUACGAAUAAGGACUGGGAGAGACUGGUGCCAGCCGCCGCGGUAAUCCCAGCAGUCCAAGUCGCAGCCACAUUUGUUGGGUCUAAAACAUCCGUAGCUUGUUUGGUAAGUCUUUUGUGAAAUCUGACAUCUUAAGUGUUGGGCGUGCAUAAGAUACUGCCAGGCUAGAGACCGGGAGACGUAAGGAGUACGGUUAGGGUAGCGGUUAAAUGCGUUGAUCCUUUCUGGACUAACAAUAGCGAAGGCACCUUGCGAGAACGGAUCUGACAGUCAGGGAUGAAGGCUAGGGUCGCAAAACGGAUUAGAUACCCGGGUAGUC